AGAGUUUGAUCCUGGCUCAGAACGAACGCUGGCGGCAGGCCUAACACAUGCAAGUCGAACGGGGACCUUCGGGUCUUACGUGGCGCACGGGUGAGUAACGCGUGGGAAUCUACCCCAAAGUCGGGGAUAACCGCUGGAAACGGCGGCUAAUACCGGAUACGCCCUGCGGGGCAAAGCUUUUGCGCUUUGGGAGGAGCCCGCGUCCGAUUAGCUAGUUGGUGGGGUAACGGCCUACCAAGGCUGCGAUCGGUAGCUGGUCUGAGAGGAUGAUCAGCCACACUGGGACUGAGACACGGCCCAGACUCCUACGGGAGGCAGCAGUGGGGAAUCUUGGACAAUGGGGGCAACCCUGAUCCAGCCAUGCCGCGUGGGUGAAGAAGGCCUUAGGGUUGUAAAGCCCUUUCGGCGGGGAAGAUGAUGACGGUACCCGCAGAAGAAGCCCCGGCUAACUCCGUGCCAGCAGCCGCGGUAAUACGGAGGGGGCUAGCGUUGUUCGGAAUCACUGGGCGUAAAGGGCGCGUAGGCGGACCACCAAGUCAGGGGUGAAAGCCCUGGGCUCAACCUAGGAAGUGCCCUUGAAACUGAUGGUCUUGAGUCCGGGAGAGGAGAGCGGAAUUCCCAGUGUAGAGGUGAAAUUCGUAGAUAUUGGGAAGAACACCGGUGGCGAA
rnacentral:rRNA from 1 species